rnacentral:lncRNA from 1 species
UUCAUGUAAAUCUGAGUAUUACACAGAAAAUUUAAUUGAGAAAACAGAAAGAUGAGGGGAGUUCUCGCCGAGCCAUGCGCUUAACGAUGACCUGUGGGUCAGCUGCUCACCGAACGAAAUCAGAGGAGAAUCCCCGCGACGACGGCGAUUUGCAGAACCCUGGGUCGACGACGCGAUGGCGUGGCGGGCGAAACUUGAAACUGGAAGAGGAGUGUAACCCAGCUGUAAAUUCAAAAUGAAAGAAGCUGCAAAAUACACAUUCCCG